rnacentral:tRNA from 1 species
UGCCCUCGUAGUUUAACCUGGACAGAAUGCGGCCCUGCGGAGGCUGUGAUUUGGGUUCAAAUCCCAGCGAGGGCGA